rnacentral:rRNA from 1 species
UACAGAGGGUGCAAGCGUUAAUCGGAAUUACUGGGCGUAAAGCGAGCGUAGUCGGUUAUUUAAGUCGGGUGUGAAAGCCCCGGGCUCAACCUGGGAAUUGCAUUCGAUACUGGAAUAGCUAGAGUUCGGCAGGAGGGAAGCGGAAUUUCCGGUGUAGCGGUGAAAUGCGUAGAUAUCGGAAGGAACAUCAGUGGCGAAGGCGGCUCACUGGACUGGUAUUGACGCUGAGGUGCGAAAGCGUGGGGAGCAACAG